rnacentral:rRNA from 1 species
UUGGAGGGCAAGUCUGGUGCCAGCAGCCGCGGUAAUUCCAGCUCCAAUAGCGUAUAUUAAAGUUGUUGCAGUUAAAAAGCUCGUAGUUGAACUUCGGGGUCUACCCAUUGGUCAGGCUUAAUUGUCUGCACUGGUGAGAUGGAUCUCUACCUUCUGAGGAACUUUCAUGCCAUUUAUUUGGUGUGAUGGGAAAUCAGGACUGUUACUUUGAAAAAAUUAGAGUGUUUAAAGCAGACUAUCGUCUGAAUACAUUAGCAUGGAAUAAUGAAAUAGGACGGACUGAUUCUAUUUCGUUGGUUUCUAGGAUCACCGUAAUGAUUAAUAGGGAUAGUUGGGGGCAUUAGUAUUCAAUUGUCAGAGGUGAAAUUCUUGGAUUUAUUGAAGACUAACUACUGCGAAAGCAUUUGCCAAGGAUGUUUUCAUUAAUCAAGAACGAAAGUUAGGGGAUCGAAGACGAUCAGAUACCGUCGUAGUCUUAACCAUAAACUAUGCC